GGGACUUGAUCCACUAGUUGUCUUGUUGCUCUAUGGGGAAGGCAAGAGGACCAAAUCUUGUUGAAUAUGUUGGAUUUCAGCACAUAAAAAUGGGAUAUGUAUCGUAUCAAGUAUGCUCAGAAGCAUGUAGGGCCAAGUAUGUCCGGGAACUAGAAAAUGUUUAAGUGGCUGAGGUACAGGAUAACUAAAGUUUAGGAUACUUGAUGUGAGGUGGGGCAAGUUAAAAAAGACAGGUACCAACUGCAAAGAGCUUUUGAGCAACCUAAGAGCUCUAGAAUAUUCCUUGUAGAGUGGGCAUGACAUGAUCACCCCAACUCCAAGCUGUAUGAGAAAUAAACAGGAGCCGCAGAAAUCAUAUAGGAGGCAUUCUAGAGCCUGGAAGUCUGAGAAGAAGGUGCCAGCAUGAUGGGAUGAGAACCUUCCAGCAGCCCUGUGAGGUAUGUGUUAUUAACCCAUUUUAAACCUGAGAACACCGAAGCAUAAGAGAAGACCAGGUGAUGUUAAAGAGGAAACAAGAAUGGCUCUAGCUUAACAUUGGAAGGGACUUUGAGCAAGAACAAAUAUAAUAGGGCAACGAUUUUCCCAUUGUUUCCAUACAAAGUACUCUAAUAAGAGUUUAACUCAGAUGAAGUAAUCAUCACCAUCAUCAUCAUCCUGGAUUUUUGAACAUCUGGCACUAGAGGGUUUUAUUUAUGAAUAUCUGUAAUGGUUAUGUGUCAACUUGAAUGGCCAUGGGGUGCCCAGAUUAAACACUAUUUCUGGGUGUGUC